AACUGAAAAAGACAGUACAUGUAAGAAGUUCUGAAAAAAACUCACUGAAGAUUUCUCAUAAUACUGUAGCAGAUUUGAUGAUUUGAGCUUUGAUAAAACCAAUCUUCAAAUGUCAUUUCAGGUAAGAAAAUAACAAAAUCUCAUGCUAACUGCAAAGAGGCUCAGACACAGCACUGUGCCAGCGAUUGAGAAGAGGUUCUGCACCAGCCUUUACUUCUGUGACAAUGUUAGUAAUGUUUCUCCUGUGCUCAACAAGGAAAAUGGUCACUAAUGUGCACAGUUGGAACUCACACUCUGGUUCCAAAGAAACAUUUACUGCUGGACUGCAUGUCACAGAAAGCUGCUGUUUUCUUGCUGUGCAAGAAAAUCAAAGCACAAGGAUGACACAGGGUUUACACUCAGCUACAGGGACCAUUACCUCCAUUCUCAUGAUGAUCCUGUUGUUCCUGGUUGCAAUGCUCAUCACAUGUUGAAAUCUUAGAUCUCGAGCUUGAAGACCCAACUCCUGUGUCAUCUGCAUGACCAUGCUCCUACCCAAACCUUGUUAAGGUGAUUUACAGAGGAUCCGACUUAGAACAGACUAUUUCUGUUGGAAGAGACCUAAAAUGAUCAGUCCAUCUGCUUCACCAGUUCAGGGCUGACCAGAAGUUAAAGCCUGAUAUUAAGGAUGCUGUCCAAAUGCCUCAAAUGCUGACAGGCUUGGGAUAUUGACCACCUCUCCAGGAAGCCUGCUCCAGAGUCUGACCACCCUCUUGGUAAAGAAUUGCUUCCUAAUGUCCAGUCUAAACCUCCCCUGGCACAGCUUUGAGCUAUUUCCAUGCAUCUUAUCACUGGAUCUCACAGAGAGGAGAACAGCAAGGCAUCUUACAUCUGGGAUUGAAAAUUCAGCUAUUUGCUCUGUAACACUCGGAAAAAUUUACAAAUAAAACUUAAAAAGUAAAGAUUA